AUUGAACGCUGGCGGCGUGCCUAACACAUGCAAGUCGAGCGGUAACAGGUGUAGCAAUACAUGCUGACGAGCGGCGGACGGGUGAGUAACGCUUGGGAAUCUGCCUAUUAGUGGGGGACAACCCGGGGAAACUCGGGCUAAUACCGCAUACGCUCUACGGAGGAAAGCCGGGGACCGCAAGGCCUGGCGCUAAUAGAUGAGCCCAAGUCGGAUUAGCUAGUUGGUAGGGUAAUGGCCUACCAAGGCGACGAUCCGUAACUGGUCUGAGAGGACGACCAGUCACACCGGAACUGAGACACGGUCCGGACUCCUACGGGAGGCAGCAGUGGGGAAUAUUGGACAAUGGGCGAAAGCCUGAUCCAGCGACGCCGCGUGGGUGAAGAAGGCCUGCGGGUUGUAAAGCCCUUUCAGUGGGGAAGAAAAGCCUCGACCUAACACGUCGGGGUCUUGACGUAACCCAUAGAAGAAGCACCGGCUAACUCUGUGCCAGCAGCCGCCGCCGUAAC
rnacentral:rRNA from 1 species